rnacentral:rRNA from 1 species
CUUUACUGUAGCCUGGUAUUGGGUUCGGGCUUUGACUGCGCAGGAUAGGUGGGAGACUAUGAAGCAAUCCUUGUGGGGGUUGCUGAGUCAACGGUGAGAUACCACUCUGUCAGAGCUAGAAUUCUAACUAAAUGCCGUUAUCCGGCUUUGGAACCGUAUCAGGUGGGCAGUUUGACUGGGGCGGUCGCCUCCUAAAAGGUAACGGAGGCGCGCAAAGGUUCUCUCAGGCUGGUUGGAAAUCAGCCGUAGAGUGCAAAGGCAGAAGAGAGCUUGACUGCAAGAGCUACAACGCGAGCAGGGUGGAAACACGGCCUUAGUGAUCCGACGGCGCUGAGUGGAAGGGCCGUCGCUCAACGGAUAAAAGUUA